rnacentral:lncRNA from 1 species
UGCGACGACCCGACGUCGCUCCUGCUCCGCCUUUUGCUGCUACUCGACACCGCUGCUCACCACCGCACCGGAACGCCAAUCUCGCCUCUCGACUCGUCUACAACCAGCGACCCAGCAGAUCCCGAGCCGACUCGCCGCACCUCCGCUACUACCGCGCCUCUGAUCACCCAAGUACCAGCAACCCCCGUCGCUUGAGUUCUUCUUCGCCCACCGAUCCAUCCAUCGCUGGUCUUUGCCGGAACCCCUGAACGCCGGCGACCCACAGUUGCCGACGACGUGGGAAGCCCAAGCAAGGAAAAAGGAAAAAGGAAAAAAAAAAUUAGGUAGUUUAUUUUUAUUUUUCACCUAUUUUAUGUUAUCUUAUUUUAUUUUUUAUUUUUUUAAGUUUUGCUAUUAUUGUUCAAAUCAGAAUAUUGGAAUGUGAUGAUCAUUUUACGAAUAUUCCAGACAUUAUCCAU